UCAAAGCUCCUGAAUCAGGUCCAUUCUAUCCUUGCAUCAUAUUUCAUUUGCUUGCAUUUGUUUUUUUGGAUUUUCGGUUUAUGAUGAAAACAAAUGCAAGCAAAUGAAAUAUGAUGCAAGGAUAGAAUGGACCUGAUUCAGGAGCUUUGA
rnacentral:pre_miRNA from 1 species